rnacentral:rRNA from 1 species
AAGUCGAACGCACAGCGAAAGGUGCUUGCACCUUUCAAGUGAGUGGCGAACGGGUGAGUAACACGUGGACAACCUGCCUCAAGGCUGGGGAUAACAUUUGGAAACAGAUGCUAAUACCGAAUAAAACUUAGUGUCGCAUGACACAAAGUUAAAAGGCGCUUCGGCGUCACCUAGAGAUGGAUCCGCGGUGCAUUAGUUAGUUGGUGGGGUAAAGGCCUACCAAGACAAUGAUGCAUAGCCGAGUUGAGAGACUGAUCGGCCACAUUGGGACUGAGACACGGCCCAAACUCCUACGGGAGGCUGCAGUAGGGAAUCUUCCACAAUGGGCGAAAGCCUGAUGGAGCAACGCCGCGUGUGUGAUGAAGGCUUUCGGGUCGUAAAGCACUGUUGUAUGGGAAGAACAGCUAGAAUAGGAAAUGAUUUUAGUUUGACGGUACCAUACCAGAAAGGGACGGCUAAAUACGUGCCAGCAGCCGCGGUAAUACGUAUGUCCCGAGCGUUAUCCGGAUUUAUUGGGCGUAAAGCGAGCGCAGACGGUUUAUUAAGUCUGAUGUGAAAGCCCGGAGCUCAACUCCGGAAUGGCAUUGGAAACUGGUUAACUUGAGUGCAGUAGAGGUAAGUGGAACUCCAUGUGUAGCGGUGGAAUGCGUAGAUAUAUGGAAGAACACCAGUGGCGAAGGCGGCUUACUGGACUGCAACUGACGUUGAGGCUCGAAAGUGUGGGUAGCAAACAGGAUUAGAUACCCUGGUAGUCCACACCGUAAACGAUGAACACUAGGUGUUAGGAGGUUUCCGCCUCUUAGUGCCGAAGCUAACGCAUUAAGUGUUCCGCCUGGGGAGUACGACCGCAAGGUUGAAACUCAAAGGAAUUGACGGGGACCCGCACAAGCGGUGGGAGCAUGUGGGUUUAAUUCGAAGCAACGCGAAGAACCUUACCAGGU